GUGCGGCUGGCCGGUCCGCCUCGCGGCGUGCACUGGUCUCGGCCGCGCUUUCCUCUUGGGCCGCCUGAGAGCGCUUCAUUGUGCUCUUGGGAUGGCCCAGGACUUUUACUUUGAAAAAAUUAGAGUGUUCAAAGCAGGCAUUUGCUCGGAUACAUUAGCAUGGAAUAAUAGAAUAGGACGUCGAUCCUAUUUUGUUGGUUUCUAGGACCGCCGUA
rnacentral:rRNA from 1 species